rnacentral:rRNA from 1 species
UUUUCCGGUUGAUCCUGCCGGACCCUAUUGCUAUCGGGGUGAGACUAAGCCAUGCUAGUUGUGCGCUCCCUAGCUACGUUGGGAGAGCAGCGAACAGCUCCGUAACACGUAGUUAACCUGCCCUUGGCACGGACAUACUCCCGGGAAACUGGGUCUAAUAUCCGAUGGAUGGAAAUGCCUGGAAUGGUUUUCCAUUGAAAGGUUUUCGAGAACAUGCUCUCGAAGAUGGCUAAGGAUGGGACUGCGUCCGAUCAGGUAGUUGGUAGGGUAACGGCCUACCAAGCCGAUAACCGGUACGGGCCCUGAGAGGGGGAGCCCGGAGAUGGAAACUGAGACAAGGUUCCAGGCCCUACGGGGCGCAGCAGGCGCGAAACCUCCACAAUGCGCGAAAGCGUGAUGGGGUUACCCCGAGUGCCGUCCGAUGAGGAGGGCUUUUACUCGGUGUACAAAGCCGGGGGAAUAAAGGGGGGGUAAGACUGGUGUCAGCCGCCGCGGUAAUACCAGCCCCCUGAGUGAUAGGGACGAUUAUUUAGCCUAAAGCGUUCGUAGCCGGCUCAGCAAGUCUUUCGUUAAAUCUGACGACUUAAUCGUUAGGCUGCGGGAGAUACUACUGGGCUUGAGGGUGGGAGAGGUUGACGGUAUUUCCAGGGUAGGGGUGAAAUCCUAUAAUCCUGGGAGGACCACCAGUGGCGAAGGCGGUCAACUAGAACACGCCUGACGGUGAGGGACGAAAGCUGGGGUAGCGAACCGGAUUAGACACCCGGGUAGUCCCAGCUGUAAACGAUGCGGGCUAGGUGUUGGAGCAGCUACGAGCUGCUUCAGUGCCGCAGAGAAGUCGUUAAGCCCGCCGCUUGGGAAGUACGAUCGCAAGAUUGAAACUUAAAGGAAUUGGCGGGGGGGCACCACAAGGGGUGAAGCCUGCGGUUCAAUUGGAGUCAACGCCGGGAAUCACUAGU